AACGAACGCUGGCGGCAUGCCUAACACAUGCAAGUCGAACGAGACCUUCGGGUCUAGUGGCGCACGGGUGCGUAACGCGUGGGAACCUGCCCUUAGGUUCGGAAUAACUCCCCGAAAGGGGUGCUAAUACCGGAUAAUUUCUUCGGACCAAAGAUUGAUCGCCUUUGGAUGGGCCCGCGUUGGAUUAGCUAGUUGGUAGGGUAAAAGCCUACCAAGGCGACGAUCCAUAGCUGGUCUGAGAGGAUGAUCAGCCACACUGGGACGGAGACACGGCCCGGACUCCUACGGGAGGCAGCAGUGGGGAAUAUUGGACAAUGGGCGAAAGCCUGAUGCAGCAAUGCCGCGUGAGUGAUGAAGGCCUUAGGGUUGUAAAGCUCUUUUACCCGGGAUGAUAAUGACAGUACCGGGAGAAUAAGCACCGGCUAACUCCGUG
rnacentral:rRNA from 1 species